rnacentral:tRNA from 1 species
GCCCCUGUGGCGGAACUGGUAGACGCGCUCGACUCAAAAUCGAGUGUCUUCGGAUAUGCCGGUUCGAGUCCGGCCGGGGGUACCA